AUAACCCCGGGAAACUGGGGAUAAUACCCCAUAGACUAUGAAUGCUGGAAUGCUUUGUAGUUGAAAGGUCCGCCGCCAUAGGAUGGGUCUGCGGCCGAUUAGGUUGUUGUUGGGGUAACGGCCCAACAAGCCUGUAAUCGGUACGGGUUGUGGGAGCAAGAGCCCGGAGAUGGAUUCUGAGACACGAAUCCAGGCCCUACGGGGCGCAGCAGGCGCGAAAACUUUACAAUGCGGGAAACCGUGAUAAGGGAACUCCGAGUGCCCGUAAAAUCGGGCUGUCCAUCUGUUUAAAUAACAGGUGAAGAAAGGGCCGGGCAAGACCGGUGCCAGCCGCCGCGGUAAUACCGGCGGCUCGAGUGGUGGCCACUAUUACUGGGCUUAAAGCGUUCGUAGCUGGUCUGUUAAGUCUCUGGGGAAAUCUACUGGCUUAACCAAUAGGCGUUUCAGGGAUACUGGCAGACUAGGGACCGGGAGAGGUGAGAGGUACUCCAGGGGUAGGAGUGAAAUCCUGUAAUCCUUGGGGGACCACCUGUGGCGAAGGCGUCUCACCAGAACGGCUCCGACAGUGAGGGACGAAAGCUGGGGGAGCAAACCGGAUUAGAUACCCGGGUAGUCCCAGCUGUAAACGAUGCGCGUUAGGUGUAUCGGUGACCACGAGUCAUCGAGGUGCCGAAGAGAAAUCGUGAAACGUGCCGCCUGGGAAGUACGGUCGCAAGGCUGAAACUUAA
rnacentral:rRNA from 1 species